AGCUCGCUGUCCCUGCUAAUGCUGCUGAAAACCCAUUUCACAGUAGUCAGAGAAGCAUUUCCCUGGGUGUGCUGUGUGCACACAUGCUUAUCUUGGAAUUGAGUUUGAAUUAGCCUGCAUACUUGAAGCAAUUGUGAUAACAUUUUGAUAUUUUCCACUUCCAGUUGCAAGCUGGAAUUUCAUCCCCAGAGAUCCACCCCCUCGAUUCUCAAAGCUCCAGCACCUUUUUACUCAAGCAUCUUCAUAAAGCUAGAAAAUGCACUGACUUCACAAGACUUGGUUGCUGGAAGCCUUCCAUGUGAUCAAACAGUACUUUCAGACAAACUAAUUUUCUAUUAAAUGAAGUUUAAUUUUGAGCAUUGCACUUCAGAGUAUCCAGAUAAAAUCAUGGCCUUGUCAGCUCAGACAGCACAGAUAUGAGGGUAGCAAUGGUACAAAUUAAUCCAGGUGAGUGGGUAAAUGAUCAGGGAGGUCAGUGUGCACUAUCUGGUCUCCCCUCUAAAUCCCCCUUC
rnacentral:lncRNA from 1 species